rnacentral:sRNA from 1 species
AUAUCUCUCCGUACGGGAAGGAUGAGAAGCUUCGACCAAGGUUCGAUUCGAGCGCAGCGAGAAAGCGUU